rnacentral:rRNA from 1 species
UACGUAGGGUGCAGGCGUUAAUCGGAAUUACUGGGCGUAAAGCGCACGUAGGCGGAUUGCUAAGUCAGGGGUGAAAUCCUGGAGCUCAACUCCAGAACUGCCUUUGAUACUGGCAAUCUCGAGUCCGGGAGAGGUGAGUGGAACUGCGAGUGUAGAGGUGAAAUUCGUAGAUAUUCGCAAGAACACCAGUGGCGAAGGCGGCUCACUGGCCCGGUACUGACGCUGAGGUGCGAAAGCGUGGGGAGCAAACAGG